CUGGAGAUUCGCCCGAGAACAACCCUGCCUGUACUUCUCAGGCGUCUCCUCCACUUACCAGACCACAAGAGGAAGGUCAAGGUGCCUGCAGCAGUGAAGGUUUGCAUCAUGGAAGUUGUAAGAAGCACUAGAAAUGGAGACCUUAGCAAUGGCACAGCAUCUCUCCGCUGCCGGGGCCAAGUUGGUGAAGUGCUCCUCUGGGCUUGCAACAACAAGAGUACGUCUUAUACCAUACUGACAUGGCACAUCGCCACAAGCAUCCUCGAGGUCAGGUACCCACACCGGCUUGAUCAACAACAAGGUUCUUCUUCUCCAAUUCCGAACACGGACUAUAAGAUCGUUGCCACUCACCUAUCAAGGUACUGUGCUUACCUUGUGACAUGGUGCCCUGAGUUACUCCCUGAUGAUGAUGCAUGGAGCAGGAGCCUGUACGAGGAUGUCAAGAAGGAUGUUGAGCGUGUACUUGCCGGCUGCACAGCAGGAGACUCACUGACGCCAGAAGCAAAUUGCCAACAGCUGAUCGAAGUGCUGAGUGCAGAUGCGAAGCAUGAAGUGCUCAAGGAAGGCGCUAGGCUUGGAAAGCAGUUGUUGGCGCUGGUGGUCGAAGGUGAGGACGAUACAGCGGCGUGGAAGUUACUGGCUGAAUUUUGGUCGGAGAUGAUCGUGUAUGUCGCGCCAUCCGACAACCUCAAAGGUCAUUCGGAGGCCAUCGCCAGGGGUGGCGAGCUGAUAACUCUGCUCUGGGUGUUGCUCUUCCAUGCUGGGAUCCUUAGUAGGCCAGGUGAGGACGAUGGCGUUGCUCCUACUUCUGCUGGCGUGGUUUAGUAGAGUCUCCUAUGUUUGGAACUACUGUUUCCUCCUUGUUUCGGAUUCUUCAUCGUUGAGUUCAUUUCAUAUACCAGAAUUUGUUAACUUGUGGCAGCAUGUGACUCCAUCUUGGUAAUCAGAUGAUCAAUUGUAACAAGUCUAUUUAGAGGUCCUAUAAUAUUGUCGAGACUCGAUAUUCAGAUGUAAUGUUAAAUAUUUCUACGUAUUGUAUUGUGAUGAAUAUAUAUGUUUCAAUUUGGUAUUGUAAUGAAGUGCUAGUAUAUUACACUAUUACUAAUUGGAGGUUCCUAAAUCCUCGCGAUGUGCUCUAGAAAAAUAGAUAAAUCUUAUAAAUUCCCACAAAAUUAAAAUUAGAAACAUCCAACCGUCAAUCCAGUAGACUCUAAUCGUAAUAGCCAUCGGAUCUAUUAUGUUAUCGAAAAACAUAAUCACAUCCCUCAUUAUAAUAAUAGCCUCAUUAUAAUAAUAGUAUAAAGUAACUCCUAAUUCUAUAUCGAAAUUUCCCACCUCUAGCAUAGGUGGGUAAUUUAUAUGGUUGGCAUCAUAACGAUACAUCCAGUUUGUAGCUGUGAAUCUAUUGAGCCGGUUAUGAUGCUGGAACACAACCAGUGGUAGAAGAUGGAACAAAUUUAGGAGUACGGAAUAAAUUUAAGGUCUGACAAAAUCAAAAAUUGAAAGUAACCAAAAAGAUAUCCUUUUCAUUAAUAGCACGAAACAGUGAAGGACGGAAUAAAUUGCAACCUCGAUGAUCAAACAUUUAGGAGAUAAUAGCUGCAGGUCAAGAGAUGAUCAAACAUUUAGGAAACAACACAUGAAAUGCACAGCCACCGAUUGACCAAAACAAAAAGGAAAUUAAAAUGAAUGCCUAAUGAUUUGAUUUCAAAUAAAAAAUGCUAAAAAUGAAAAUUUGCAAUUUGUACCUCUCAAUUCAGCCUUGCCCUUGCCCUUACCCUUGGACUCCAUUUUAGCCUGUGCACUUCGGAUUCCCUGCGUUGUACGCUGCUUCUUGUAACACCAAUGGUGUUUACUAUAAAUUAAACCUUACUUAAGCACUAAUGAGGAGAAAUAAAAAGGAAAAGAGAAAAGAAAAGGAGAAAUACAGAAAAGAAGACUUGGUCAAACAAGGUUGAAUUAGAGACUUGACUAAGUCAACCAUGGUCAAAUUAAGUCAAAAAGGUGAAUUUGGAUCAAUUGUGACAAAUGGAGUGGAUUAAAUUCAAAUCCAGUUUGAAUUUUUAAAUUUAAACUUGAUUUGGAAAGAGGAGUCAAAUGUGGUCAAGUACCCAUGUUUGAGUGCUGUUUCAAAAGGAUUUUAUAUAACAACUUUGGAAAAUAUUCUACUAAGAGUUUGAGUAUAAUGUGUAUAGAACAAUUUGGACUUGAUGUGGUUCACAGAAAAUGGAAUUUGGGUAAUUUAAUUGAGGCUCAAAGUUUGAACUAUGUGCUGUUUGGAGACUUAGGCAGAUUCUCAAUUCAGUGUCUGUAACUGAAACUCAUAUUCAGUUCAUAAUCAAAUCUUCAGAACUCUUAAUCUCUCAAACCGUGGAUCCUUUGAACAAAGUUCAUAUCUAUCAUUUGUAUACCUAUGUUACAUCUACAUUUUUGUUUAUUGGUGCUUGAAGAGAUUGUGUUUGGUUCGGAUGAAUUUAUCUUAAGAAAUAAGGAAUGUUUCUGUGUACCGAAGCCAAAACAUACAACGGUAAGGGUGCCUUUGGUUGGACUUUCCAACCUACUUUUGCAAGUCAAAAGCCAACCAAAGGACCUAAAAACCACAUAUAGUUUAGGUUAAAAGCUGCUUUUGCUCUAGGGUGUGUUUGAUUGGGCUGUGGCUUUUGGAAAAGCUGUUGUGAGCUGUAGGCUGUAGAAAAGCAGUUGUGAGAAAGUAGCUGUGGGAAAAGCAGACUGUGAAACUGUAGGUUGUGUAAGAAAUACAUAUAAUGUCCCUAAAGGUUUGAGGGUCUGUUUAUAUGCAAAUUGUUCGUAACAAAAUAUUGUGUUUACUAAUUUGCAUGUAAAUGAGUACUUUAGAAAGAAAAAAAAUAAAAUUUAUAUGUUCUUCAUCCAUCAAAGUAAUUGGUCCACAUAAAUAGAACAAUAUUCAUCAAAAGACUUAUACAAUGAUGCUAUCCCUCAACAUUACUGUCCUCUUCUCACACUAACCAAAGCAUCAGCUAUCGUAGUACGAAUGGUAUUCAUGGUAUCAUUCUCCACACGUUUCUCAUCUUCGGAGUCUUCGGAUAUGACUAUUUAUUGACGAAAUAUUUUUUAUUUCCAUAACCAUAUCCAUUAGUGGGUCCCAAUUAUCAUUGUUGGUGCCUAUCGUUUCUUUUUUUCUUUUUGCUUCGACUGUAUCUUCUAGCAUUGGACGAGCAUCGUCUCCCAAGCUUAGUCCCAGGAUGGAGAGGAGCUUGAGCUUGCCUGGGCCAUAGCCGCCCAAUGUGAGCUUUGCCUGCGCCAUGGCUGCCCAGCUCGAGCUUGCCAACGCCAUGGCCGCCCAGCUUGAAGACGAAGUACAACACCUUGGUGCACAGUAGGAAGUUGCGCUCGACGGUGAAGACGAUGAGCGUGACGAGCCACUAGCUGAGAAGGUGGCCGGAGAAGGUGGCCGGAGAAGAUGGCGGUGACCAUGACACAACACUUCUAGAUCUCCAGCCCCAACAGGAUGCGCCCCCCGCAGGGGCCGCACGACGACGCUGACGACGAGCAGCGCGAGGACGAGGACGAGCACGGAGAGCUCAAGGCCGAGGCGCGCCUGGCGGUGGCACCGUGCCGCGAAGGCGGGUCUCCGGGAGCCGUCCCUGUUGCGGAAGAGGUCCUCCUUGUGGUCGGCAAUCCAUCCGAGCUACAAUCCAUCGUCAGCAAUGCAUCAUUAAGAAAAAUGGUAUCUGGAAAAGAUAUGGGUAGUUUAUUGUCAGUGCAGAAGAUCUGAGCUACAAGGUUUAGAGGAAGGCAGGUCUCGUAGUGCCGCUGUUGUAGAUAGGUCUAUUUUACAUCGCUAUUGGCUUCUUCAUUGUUAUUGAGGUUAUUGCUGGGUUACAAUCUAUGGUUCUGGUUUUUGUCGGACCAGCUACAGUAAGAUUGCAUCGACUUCUUUCAGUGUACCGAUCAUAAGAUCUAGUAAAAUUCACUUGAAAUUACACGCAAAUCGGCAAAUGUUCUGUAUUUUGUCAAAGAAGAAAAAGGAAGUUGUGUUACAGGAUAACGACUAUAAUUUUACUGGGGCAAGAAAUUAGACAUGCCGAAUUUUUACCACAUAUUGUUUGCACAUUUCAUUGCCAAAAAAAGGCAUUGAUCAGCCCCAUCUAAACGUUUUAAAUAAAUGAAUGCAACACAUAGCGUUCAUCUGAUACUGUUGUAAUAUGUAUCUGCCAUCUUCUAAAUCUCAACUAAAAACUUACAUCCCUAGUCAUUGCAAUAGCAACCUGUCUCUAUCAUCCUCAGUGCAUCAAGUAACAGACAUCAGGAAUGCACCACCACUCGCUAUCAUCUUAGCCGUAUGAUUCUAAAUUUCUAAUUAAUUACUCCCUCUGUCCCAAAAGACUAUUCGUUUAGUCUCCAAAACUUGUCCUAUAAAGAGUGUUUUAUAACUUUCAGACCAUCCAACAAAGGCCUUCAUAAAACCUUCUGGCCCAGUGAACGAAUCGAUCAAUUACUCCCAUCAUCGAUGCCCGAUCCAGACUCGCUAAAUAAGGAAGGCUAAUAGGUUCGACAAUUACUAUAAGCGUGCAUGCAUAAUUAAUUAUACUUGGCAAUCCAUCCGAUUAAGAAGAAUUAUUAGAGGUACUUUGAACUUCUAGUAUUUCUACUAUCUUGUCUAAAAUUUUUUAAACGUCUUUGUGGGACGGAGCGAGUAGGCGCCUCUAGUUGUUGAAUUAUAUUUGUUUAUGAAAAAAGGCAAUCACCCAGCAUAUAGUGCCUACAUUUAUUUCUUACAGUGACAAAUAUUAUUUGCAUCACACAGCCUUUUAAUUUUCUGAUUCAUUCACCAAUUAUUAACCACUGUGCACGAACCGCCUAAUAACCCGGAUCAGCUCGUCCGAGGCCUCCCCGCACGGCUCCGUGACGAAGAAGGCGUGCCCCUGCCCCUCGAACACGACGAGCUCGACCUCCUUGCCGGCCGCCCUCAGCCUCGCGACGUACUCCCCGACGCGGUCGUGGAGCACGUCCUGGUCGGGAUCGAGGACGAGCACCGGCGGGAAGUCGCCGCCGAGGUCGCCGAACGGGACGCUCCCCGGCGCGAGCGGGUUCGCGAUCGGGUGGUCCUUGGUGGCGCCCGCCGGCAGCGCCAGGCGCCACAACUGGUCGAACAGCGCCAUGCCCAUGGGCUCGCCGGGCUGGGACGCCGCCUCGGACGGCGUCAGCUCCUCGCCGCCGAAGUAGGGCCAGAGCAUCACGCAGCCGGCGAGCCGGAGCGGGGUGAGUGGGAGCUCCCCGGACCCGUGGCGCACAGAGAUGUGGUGCGCAAUGUUGCCGCCGGCCGAGUCGCCGGUGACGAACACCCGGCGGAAGUCGGCCGACUCGGCGAGCCACAGGUCGGCGCCGGCGCCGGACGCGGCGGCGGUGGCCUGGGAGCGGAGCCAGGAGAAGACGGACUCGGCGUCGUCGAGCGCGGCGGGCAGGCGGUGCUCGGGCGCGAGGCGGUAGUCGGCGGAGAGCACGACGGCGGGCAGCUCGGCGGCGAGGCGGAGCGCGCCGGCGUGGAAGUUGAUCACCUCGAAGCUGGCGACGCAGAAGCCGCCGCCGUGGAAGUACACGAGCACCGGCAGCUUCUUCUCCUCCAACCCGCCGCCAGCGCCGGCGGUGGAGAGCCGGUACAUGCGGAGCCGGAGGCCGUGCGCGCCGUCGUAGACGACGUCCUUCCACUCCACGGGCAGGUCCGGCGGCGGCACGCCGCCCACGAGCGGGAAUACCGAGUAGUCCGUGGACCGCCUCACCGUGCCGUCGCUGAGCAGCUGGACGAGGCCGAGGCAGUCCUCGACGACAUGUGGCGCUGCCGCCGAGCUUGCUGGAACGGCCGACGACAUGACAAGUUGGCUACUGAACAGCGAACACAGGAGUGUGACCGAGCAAGUCACGAAGCUUUACGGCCGAUAAAUAGCCAGGCAUGGUCGCAAGGAUGCCCUGGCCUUUUAUUUCGUUGACUUGGACUGACUACCGGACCCACCGGUAAGCGACACUAGGCUAGUCAGAGAGCCGUGCGUCGAUCAGCCGCCGUGGACUUCUCCUACCCGCGAAGUGAGAUUUUCCACGCGUGACAAGCACAAUCCGUGCCACGGAGGAUGACACGUCACUGUCUCCACGUGUCGAAUGCUCGUCGGUCACUGCAACGAAGAUAAGCUCGGAGUGAGCAGUGGCCACUGUUGGUCAAAGCGUUCCCAUCAGAUCACGGCGGCCGUGUGCAGUUGGCAGUUGCUUGUCUGAUCAUGUGACCAUGUCUAGUUCCAACCUGGGUGUUGCUCUUCCAUGCUGGGAUCCUCGGUAGGCCAGGUGAGGACGACGGCGUUGCUCCUACUUCUGCUGGCAUGGUUUAAGUAGAGUCUCCGUUAGGAACUACUGUUUCCUCCUUGUUUCGGAUUCAUCAUCUAGAAAAAAUAGAUAAAUCUUAUAAAUUCCCACAAAAUUAAAAUCCGAAACAUCCAACCGCCAAUCCAAUAAACUCUUAUCAUAAUAGCUAUUGGAUCUAUUAUGUUUACUAAAAAAUUAAUCACAUCCCUCCUUAUAAUAAUGGUAUAAAGUAACUCCUAAUUCUAUAUCGAAAUUACCCACCUCUAGCAUAGGUGGGUAAUUUAUAUGAUUGGCAUCAUAACAACACAUCCAGUUUGUAGUUGUAAAUCCAUUGAGCUGGUUAUAAUGCUGGAACACAACUAGUGGUGGAGGAUGGAACAAAUUUAGGAGUAUGGAAUAAAUUUAAGGUCUGACGAAAUAAAAAAUUGAAAGUAACCAAAAAGAUAUCCUUUUCAUUGUAAUAGCACGAAACAGUGAAGGACGGAAUAAAUUGCAAGCACGAUGAUCAAACAUUUUGUUGGCGCUAAAAGUCAGCCGAUUGACUCUUAGCGUCGGACACACGACCCGGGAGAAUCUAUUUAGCUCCUGUUCGGGUGAUCGCUCUGGUGCGGUUCGCGCGGCUUGCCAGCCAAUCUGACCUGUUGAUUGGCAAGGAAGGAAACGUGUCAAAUUCCAGGGGUUCUGAUCGGCUAAGGUUCCGAUCUCGAGGAAGCGUAUCAGCGAAUCGGCCGAUUUGCUAUGAAAAGACAAUCGGCUAUGAUACAGCCGACGAUCGUGUAGCAAUUGCGAAGAAAACUAUUUGAGUAAACUAGACAAAGCUACGAAAGCAACACUUGAAAUAGAUCUAAUCGGCUAUAUGAUAAUGAUGAAUGAAAAUAACAAUAACAAAGCCGACAAUUCAAAUCUCAAGCUGGAUAAUUGGUGAUAAAACUAGAACAAUAGAUAAAACCUAUAAUUCUAGUAAAUAUCGAUAACUGGUGAAUAAAUCUAAACGAAACGACAGCGAUGCGCCCGAAGUUAAAGCUUAGAUAUUACUCGAUAAGCGGAACUUACAGAAUCGGCCGGAGAUUGUGUCGAUGCAGCUCUGCCAACCUGCACGAACUCGUGAAAGAAGAAAUGUAUUGGCGAAGUCGCCGACUUGAAAGUAAAGUGCGAUGAAAAAGUAGAUUUGUUUGUAUUGAUUGAUGUGUUGUUUACAAAUCUCUAAAAGUGGCUAUUUAUAGCCUGUUACAACCAACUUCCUAACUGACUAGUAUCUAUCUCUAAUCUUAAACAAAAACGAAUAUUUACAAACACAACUCGUAUCGGAGUUGGUUAUUAUACUCCUGCGGACCAAUCUUUCUCUAUCUUCUUUCUCUGAUCCACUUUAAGCCCAUAUUGGCCCAAUCGCUCCAGCCUUCCAGUCGGCCGAUCUCUACCAACUCCGCCCGCCAAAAUACUGUAGCGUCAAUCAGCCGAUCCCCAACUGUAGCACCAAUUGGCCGAUUCCCAAUUGUGACCUUUUAAUCUGCUGCAUCGGCCAGUCCUUUCCUUCCUUGACGCCGAUUCCAUACGUGUCAAAAUCUGGCGUCAACACAUUUAUAAUAAGAGAUGAUCAAACAUUUAGGAAACAACACACGAAAGUGCGCAACCACCGAUUGACCAAACGGAAAAAAAUUUAAAAUGAACGCCUAAUGAUUUGAUUUCAAAUAAAAAAAAUGCUAAAAAUGAAAAUUUGCAAUCUGUUCCUCUCAAUUUAGCCUUGCCCUUGCCCUUCGACUCCAUUUUAGCCUAUGCACUUCUGAUUCCCUGCGCUGUACGUUCUUCUGUUGCCGGCCGGCCGACGGUGCACUUCGGCACCCGUACGUCGCACUGUCGCAUCUCGCCGGGCGCACCGUCGCAGCAUGACCUCGGGCCUCGACGUCGCCCGUGACCCGUGAUCGGCAAAGCGCUAAGGGUUGCGACGAGCACAAGCGCUAGGUCUCUCGUGUGGAUUUUGGGCUGCUAGUGUUUUGGGCCAUUACGCACCAGGGCAAAAAAAACAAACAAAUCAAUUGGCCCAAUGCAAAGAACACUCGGCCUUGUAACGGUUGGCAGCCUGACGUUUCCUUUCUUCUUCCUGGACCUUUUACAUUCAAUCAGUUCGUCGCUCAUACAGGCAGCCAUGACGUCCUGUGUGUAGUAGAUGCAGCAACGGAAGGGGAAUGCCAUACUGGGCACAACUGAUUCUUGAGCAACUGGGAGUGACAUGCAGUUCUGCAACAGUUCAAAUUAAAGGAACUGCAAAUAAAUGGAUGUAAAUGAAGGCAGAGAAAGAAGAAAAAGGAUCGAAUCAAAGAGAAAAAGGAAAACCCACAUGCUAUUGCUAGAAUCAAGAUCAUGGCACACAGAUGCAGCCAAAGGGUCCGAUCGAUCUGAAAAGGAGAAGGGAACUGCGUGGUGGCAUGAUCGCCCCCACAGCCCCACCUUCCAGGUGGCGAUGACAGUUUUGUGUCUCGCUCAGUCUGCGAAAGAUUAAUUGCAGCGAUCUGGGCACUAAGUAAAGAACAAGGAAACAAUUUAUCGACAAGCUAAUUUAUCGAUCAUCCUGUGACUCGUGUUUUUGUAUGUGUGAUUAGUUUUUUUUUCCUUUGUGGACAAGCUGAUUUAUCGAUCAUCCUGUGAAGAAUUCCAUUUUUCUCGAUUCAAAAGCUCAGAUGGAUUAUCUUGUUGAGUUCCGACUGUUUCCGUAUUCUCUCCAUGACUCCAAAGAGCAACAAAACCCACCACCAUAUUAACAACCAAAUAAAAACGCGUUCCGUAGAACAUACGCUUCUGUCGGUGAAACCGAAGAUGAAAGGACGAAGGAAGACGAGCAAAAAAGGAAAAGCUUUGUUUUGUGCUUUUGAGUCCCCCACCGUCAUGCAUUUGUUCCAAUUUUAUUAUAGUUUUGGUGCUGAGAAUGAUGUAAAAACUUUGUUGUGUGCGGUUGCAGAGGUUGGAAACAAUUUCCUUUUUCUAAAAUAAAAAAAUGCAUUUGCACACAGGACUCCUUUUUAGCUACGUGUUCUUUUUUUAUUUGCUUCUUUAAAACUUACCAUUGGCGGAGAAGUGGAAAUAUUAACGUGGCCUUAUUCUAACAAGCAAAUUAAUUAAGUUAACUGAACAAUCAAAUUAAUUAAGCUAAAGAAGUGACCAUGUGCGUGCAUUUCGUCUAUCUACAACGGAUCUUUUGACUUGAAACAAAAAUACCUAAAGGCAGUCAAGGUACCUUUUGGCAAGGAGACUAUCAUCAUUGCCAUAACAGAAAAUAUUUUAGGCUUAAUCUAGAUGCCCUAGGCAGUAAUAAAAGGCAGUAAUAAGGAGAUUACUUUACUAUUACUAAUUGGAUAUUCAUUUCAAAGGCCGUUAUAAAAAAAAAGUAAAUCCAAAAAAUACUCAUAAAAAUAAAAAAUAUCUGAGACCAUAUGGUAUACCCUAAUCAUUAAUGGUGGAUCCACAGAUUGUAUUGUAUGGAGCCCGAGCAGAGACUAAGACAUUUCCCUUGCUGUCUCCGGCAAACGAUGUUCCAACUAUGGAUUAAAACAACUAUCCUCUUGCAGAUGUGGCGCUGGAACCCGAGUAGCCUUGGGCCACCCCUGGUAAUCAUCAUUGAUAAAAGUAGACAUUCAAUAAUAUAUUAUGUUUUGUUUAAUAAUUACACACAUCUAUCGUUAAUUGCACUUCUAACUUUAUGACUACGACGGGCACAGCUUUGGAAAAGAAAGGAACAUAUUCGCGAGCAACCAUAUAAUAAGGAGGUAUUUUCUUCCACUAACUUAUUUUUAGCACGUGUCACAUCGAAUGUUUAGAUAUUAAUUAGGAGUAUUAAACGUAGACUAUUUACAAAACCCAUUACAUAAUACAAAACUGAACGGUAAGAGGGAUCGAUUAAGGCUAAUUAAGCCUAAUUAAUCCCAUCAUUAUCAAAUGAUUACUGUAGCAACACGAUUGUCAAAUCAUGGACUAAUUAGGCUUAAUAGAUUCAUCUCGCUGUUUAGAUUCGUCUUGUGUAAUGGGUUUUGUAAAUAGUCUACGUUUAAUACUCCUAAUUAGUAUCUAAACAUUCGAUGUGACGGUUGCUAAAAAUAAGUCAGUGGAAGAAAACGGGGCCUAAGCAUCAAAAGCAAAGAUAGGGAGCAGGAAAAAGCAAGCGCAUUCAGAAAAAAAAAAACAUAUGGAGGAAACCCAACGUACUUGGGAAGAUGAAACUGCAGGAUUGAGCACUAACCAUCCAUAAGCAAACACAUUAUUCCGAGAGCGGGCAGGCAGCCGUAUCGAACUGGCGUCAGUCAACUAGAUCUCCGCCUUACGGUAAAAUAUUUCUGUGCAUUUCUGUGUUCUGUUUAGAAUUUAGCAGAGAUUGCAUGAUGCUAGCAAGCAGUGAUACUGAUCCCAUAUGUUGAACACCUUAUAUGCCUUAGUUUCCAUUCCAGUGUGAUUAGUUCCUUAAUUUGUGUGCUUGUACCAACAACUUGCUCUAAUCUUGACAUAUGUGAAUUAAAUCAGCUGGCCCAUGGCUGGAAGGAAUUACACCAUAGACGACUGCGUCUACGCUGCACUGGGCAAAUGCUCCGCUAGGAUUACAUGCGAGGCUGAUAUGGCGUCCUCAUUCCACAAGAGCUUGGGAGAGAACAUAUGGCUUAUGAACUCACUCCUGCUCACCAGUGCCGUCCUGGCUGGAGUCAUAGCAGGGAUAGGCAUCUACGGCCAGCGCUACCGCCACCACCGCUACACCAGGUUUAUCUUCCUCGGAGCCACGACCCUAUUCUUGCCUGUCGUCUCCACUGUUGUCUCCAUGCGCACCGGGAACAGUGACCACAGCAUACAUAGGCAUGAUGAGGCCACUCAUUUGAUUGCAGACUGCGGCCCAAAAGGACUAUCGGUCCUGAUUCUAAUAUGGGCAUCCCUUGUUCAGAUCAUCAUGAUCAAUACCAGUGCAGUAGUUGCUGUCGAUGAUAGAGAAGGUGGAAACGUAGGUCCUCCAUUUGAGCUGCUUGUUCAGGGUGUCUGGAUCUUUUACCUUGGUAUCAGCAAUGUCAUUCCCGCCGCUCGCACAAAUGACAUCACGGUACUAAUUAUUGGUGCCUUUGAAGCCACACCUUUUGCUCUCACGUUUGCCAAAAUGGUAUUGAAAUAUUAUGCAUAUGAAAAGGCGCGACAAUCCUUUGGUCUCGGACGCAAUCCCCAUCUUAUUUUUGGAUACAUGAAGCAACAAUCGUUACAAGAAACAAGUCACGAUGGUGAACCAAUGGUAGCUGAGGAUGCACCUCCCCCGCUGCUGGUUAUGGGAGAAGAGAAAAGACACGUGGAGAAGCAGCCUCUUGGGUAUGUGUUCAAGGAUGACUCAUGGACAACUUCGCAUAAUAAUGGCCUGGUGACUAUUGAUAGAGUUUGGAGGAUGGAUAACGUGCUUCCAACAUCAACACUGAAACCAAAAAGACUUAUGCUUGUCAUUUGCACUGUUCAAGUUGUUGCGGUGCCGAUUUGCAAGGUACAAGGUCAGAACUGCUGCCUCUAAGGGCACCUUCAGUUUUUUCUGGAGCUUAUUGCUGAAGGAUGGCGAACAUGAUAGGGUGUUUUUGGUCAUUUCGGAUGAGCUUUCUUUCCUUCAUGAUUAUUAUUAUUCAUCCCUCCCGAUCUCCUAUUCCAAGUAUUGGUUGCCCGUUGCCGGUAUCUUGAUCUCACUACUGAGCAUAGCUUACUGUUGUGUAUUGAUGAUCGCAGUAACGCUUGUGGAAGUCCUGUCGUUGCUGGAUGAUUCAGCCAGCGGACCUCAGAUUGAGUGCACUGUUUUUUGCAUUCGAGGACCUCUGAUGAGCAAGCCCAUGGAUACAGAAUAUGGGAACUACAACUUCGAUCUGGUGCCAUUAAUUUUGCUUUCGGUGUUAGUCAUGAUGUCUGAGGUGAGGGACAUAGCUACCUACAUCUACUCCAACUGGACUAAAGUUGCCGUCACCUGCCACCUUGUAAACCAUGCCUCUUCACAGCAUUCACUUCUCAAGAAGAAAUGGAUUGGCCUUCUGCUGCGUUGUCGAUGCAAGCUGAUGAAGCAUUGGGAUGAGAAAAUAGGUCAGUGCACUAUGCUGGAGAUUUGCCCGAGAACAACCGUGCCUGUACUUCUCAGGCGUCUCCUCAACUUACCAGACCACAAGAGGAAGGUCAAUGUGCCUGCAGCAGUGAAGGUUUGCAUCAUGGAAGUUGUAAGAAGCACUAGAAAUAGAGACCUUAGCAAUGGCACAGCAUCUCUCCGCUGCCGGGGCCAAGUUGGUGAAAGGCUCCUCUGGGCUUGCAACAACAAGAGUGUGUCUUAUACCAUACUGACAUGGCACAUCGCCACAAUAAUCCUCG
rnacentral:lncRNA from 1 species